rnacentral:rRNA from 1 species
UAGUGACGAAAAAUAACGAUACGGGACUCAUCCGAGGCCCCGUAAUCGGAAUGAGUACAAUUUAAAACUUUUCCCGAGGAUCAAUUGGAGGGUAAGUCUGGUGCCAGCAGCCGCGGUAAUUCCAGCUCCAAUAGCGUAUAUUAAAGUUGUUGCGGUUAAAAAGCUCGUAGUCGAAUCUGUGUCCCGCGCCGCUGGUUCAUCGCUCGCGGUGUUCAACUGGCGUGUCUCGCGGGACGUCCUGCCGGUGGGCGCUCGUAUCGUUUCGGCGGUGCGUGGCCCAACUCGUAGCCGUCUCGCGCGGUUGCGAAUCCCAUCGCGGUGCUCUUUAUUGAGUGUCGAGGUGGGCCGGCACGUUUACUUUGAACAAAUUAGAGUGCUUAAAGCAGGCCAAUUUUGCCUGAAUAUUGUGUGCAUGGAAUAAUGGAAUAGGACCUCGGUUCUAUUUUGUUGGUUUUCGGAACCCCGAGGUAAUGAUUAAUAGGAACGGAUGGGGGCAUUCGUAUUGCGACGUUAGAGGUGAAAUUCUUGGAUCGUCGCAAGACGGACAGAAGCGAAAGCAUUUGCCAAAAACGCUUUCAUUGAUCAAGAACGAAAGUUAGAGGUUCGAAGGCGAUCAGAUACCGCCCUAGUUCUAACCAUAAACGAUGCCAGCUAGCGAUCCGCCGACGUUCCUCCGAUGACUCGGCGGGCAGCUUCCGGGAAACCAAAGCAUUUGGGUUCCGGGGGAAGUAUGGUUGCAAAGCUGAAACUUAAAGGAAUUGACGGAAGGGCACCACCAGGAGUGGAGCCUGCGGCUUAAUUUGACUCAACACGGGACACCUCACCAGGCCCGGACACCGGAAGGAUUGACAGAUUGAGAGCUCUUUCUUGAUUCGGUGG